rnacentral:rRNA from 1 species
CCUACGGGAGGCAGCAGUGAGGAAUAUUGGUCAAUGGACGAGAGUCUGAACCAGCCAAGUAGCGUGAAGGAUGACUGCCCUAUGGGUUGUAAACUUCUUUUAUAUGGGAAUAAAAUGUUCCACGUGUGGGAUUUUGUAUGUAUAAUAUGAAUAAGGAUCGGCUAACUCCGUGCCAGCAGCCGCGGGAAUACGGAGGAUCCGAGCGUUAUCCGGAUUUAUUGGGUUUAAAGGGAGCGUAGGUGGAUUGUUAAGUCAGUUGUGAAAGUUUGCGGCUCAACCGUAAAAUUGCAGUUGAAACUGGCAGUCUUGAGUACAGUAGGGGAGGGCGGAAUUCGUGGUGUAGCGGUGAAAUGCUUAGAUAUCACGAAGAACUCCGAUUGCGAAGGCAGCUUACUAAACUGUGACUGACAUUGAUGCUCGAAAGUGUGGGUAUCAAACAGGAUUAGAUACCCUAGUAGUC